AUACAUGAGCAAAAUCUCAACUUUAUUAGAAGAGACGCAUUUAUUAGAUAAAAAGCCAGUUCAUGCUUUUACAGUAUGAAAAUUGGUGAUUUAUAAUAACUUAGCAAAUCGCAAAGUGAAAACAGGCGAUAAAUCAUUCAAGUAUCUGACCUAUCAGCUUUCGACGGUAUGGUAUUGGCUUACCGUGGCAGUGACGGUUAACGGGGGAUUAGGGUUCGAUUCCGGAGAGGGAGCCUGAGAAACGGCUACCACAUCUAAGGAAGGCAGCAGGCGCGCAAAUUACCCAAUUCUAACAGUUUGAGAGAGGUAGUAACAAGAAAUAACAAUACAAGGCAGUUAAAAUGCUUUGUAAUUGGAAUGAUAGAAAUUUAAACCCUUUUUAAAGUAUCAAUUGGAGGGCAAGUCUGGUGCCAGCAGCCGCGGUAAUUCCAGCUCCAAUAGCGUAUAUUAAAAUUGUUGCAGUUAAAAAGCUCGUAGUUGAAGUUCUGCUGAAAGUAACCGGUCUGCUUUUAAUAAAAGUGGUAUCUUGGUAUGUAUUUAGCAAUGAUGUCCUUUGAAGUGUUUUUUACUUUAUUGUAAUAAAGCAUAUUCAGGACUUUUACUUUGAGAAAAUUAGAGUGUUUCUAGCAGGCUGACGCUUUGAAUACUGCAGCAUGGAAUAAUAAG
rnacentral:rRNA from 1 species